GCUUGGAUGCCUCCUGAGUCUCACUCUGGCUCAACCUCUGGAGGAGCAUCAGAGAGUUGCUCGCUCAAAGUCAAACUCCAACUCAAACGAGGCCACGACUACAACAACCACCGCGGCAUCUUCAGCCACUCUGAACCAAAUCAUUGCCCUCCUCUUACAGCGGCUCAUCGCUGGAUGAUAAAGUCUGGAAUGGAACCGUCCACUAAGAAGUGAUUAAGAAAUGUUUUGGAAUCAGUGAAACAGUUCAUAUUUUUACUGUUCUAAAUAAAC